rnacentral:lncRNA from 1 species
AAUUUUACAUGUUCAAAAUGAGAAUUUGGGAUAGGUUAAGAUAUAUCCUUGCCUUUGCCAAAUCCUUGAAGUUCUCUCUGGCUGUGUGCCUUGCAUCAGAUCUUUUUAUGAAGGGUGUAAGUGUACAUUCCAUGUAUUCACUGCCACUGAAUAAGUCUGAGUGAUGCCUACACUGAGAAAAUGAGAAAAUGCUAAGUGAGACUUAUUACUCAGGAAAUCACAUGAUAAAAAAGUUAGAAGUUUAGAAUAUACAGUGCAGUCUUUUCUUUGCCAAUUACUACUUAAAUGCUUAGUUUUUAAAAUAAAGAGGAUGCUGGUCAGAGUAACGCUUUAGUUUUCUAAUUCUGUAGCACAUUUUAUAUAAGCCUCUCAAACUCGUAUUGUUCCUGCAGAAAGGAAAGCUUUCAUUUUAAAUGUGGGUAAAGUAAUUCCAAAUUCCAAUUCUUGUUGCUAAUAAUAUUUACUUUUGUGAACUGACCACAGUAGUCCAGAAGCAAGAAAGAUCUGUUGGUAGUGUAGAAUAAGUAAAUGUGUGGAAGCUUUCUAGAAAGAGCAAUUUUAUAAAGGAAAAAGAAAAAGAGGUCAUAACAGGAUGAAACCAGAAACCACUGAUAUAGGCUAUCAACAAACAUUAGAUUGUGAACAUCAAAGAAAUCCAGAAACUUAAUAAUACAGUUUCAGUCUAUUUUCUUUGAGGACCAUUGCUGUCUUGCCUCUCCAUCACAAGACACCAAAGGAAAUAAGUACUUUGGUUCAUUGGCCCCCUGGAGCACUGAUACUACCCUACAAGCUGACAAGAAGAAAGACCAUAAAAUGUUCUCCGAAUCCAUAAGGACAACACCAUUGGCACAGAUAGGAAUUUUGCUCUGAAGUGACAGCACUCCUCUUCUGAAACAUGACCUAAUGACUAUAAAGGGUUUCUUUGGAAACACCAUAUUUUGUCAUUAAACUGUCUUUACCACAUCACAUGUUCCCAAACCAUUCUAUACCAAUGUUCCCUGAGAGUUAAAGAUGGCUCUGAAGAAAAACUGUCAUCUUUAAUAAAGAAACGCAAUAGACAUUUGUCAUGGGGAAAGGCCCAAUUUACUGUGUGGUAUCUCUGAGUUUCUAUUUUGUCUUGAGUGUUU